rnacentral:lncRNA from 1 species
UAAAUCAUAAGUCAUUCUCAAAAGCACUUUUUUAUACUCCUUUCUCUCAAAAACGAAAAUACAACUUUCUCAAGCUCCAUCAAUGGCUCCUUCAAGGAAACUCAAAGGAAAGGCAAAAAUAGGAGAAGGUACCUCUAAUCCUACCAAUGAUUCUAAAAGUGUAGCUCCUCAACCAACAAUGAUGCAAAGAAGACUUCAAUUUCCUUUCCGGAAUAGAGCUCUCACUUCGGUAAAAUACG